rnacentral:lncRNA from 1 species
UAUUUAUUCUAAAAAUAAAGUACAAAAAUAAAAUAAACCAAAAAUAAACUUAAAUAUAAAAAUACACUAAAAUAGUAAAAAAAAUUAGAUUAAACUAUAGAGUCGCCUAAGUACAAUAGUAGAAGAAGGUGCAUCAAAAUGCAUUGAUCAACAAUCUCCCUAUGCUACAGGACUUGGCCAAUGCCAACAUUUGUGUAAACAAGUGCUUGCAAUUU